GGGUUGGCAGUAGCUCAGCGGUUACUUCAUGAACUUUCAAUUUCAGAAAAAAUCCUUUCGGGGGUUCAAACCCCGCGGGCGCUAUCUAACCUUUUU
rnacentral:vault_RNA from 1 species